AUGAGAUGUUCUUUCAUUAAUAUGGUACCCCAGUGUUCCCUCUUAAACAUCACAGCCUAAAAAUAGCAUACAAAAAUCAUAAGAAUUUUUUUUCCCCCUCACAGAGAUAGAAAGGGUUAGGACAAAAGUACACAUAUUUUAGGACAACUCUCAUCCUUCCAGUUUAGAACAUACUCCUAUAUGUUGUUUGUUGUUCAGGUGGUCAAUAUCACAAAAUCGUGCGCUCUCCCUCCUCUUUUAUUACUGAAAAUGUGAGACACAGAUAGGUGUGGGGUUUCUCUCAGCCUUCUGAUUUUCAGGGCAGAAGGAACAAGCGCAGCUCUGUUGUUCUCUUGCAGAACAGUAGCCAGCGAACUACGCCAAUUUCUCUAUUAUUGAAAUCACACCGCUUGUUCAAGUCAAUAUAUUUUUAAGUGGAAGAGAGAAAAUCCACAGCAGAUCUGGGUAACUGAGUAGUCAGUUACCUUCGCUGUUAAAAACAGAAGUGUAUGGGUUCAGCCGGCUUUACCUUCUAACCACUGGAUCUCAUUACAUGCUUAAACUUUCCACCUCUAGAUUAAUGGAGCUGUCUACUAUCUAUUAGUGGAUCAAAUCACCUCUUAACCUUCUCUUCAAUAAACUUAAUAGAUUGAAGGAACGGGACAUUUAGCUUUAUCAAAAGGGUGUGAAACAAUACCACUCCUUCCACUUCCUCAGAACAGGGUUUCUGCAGGAGAUGUGAUCAGUGGUUGGCUUUGUACCAGUCCCCAGGGGCAAAGCAUUUAAUCCAAGUUGGUACAGAAGCUGAGAAAAAUACGGAGUUAGAAAGAAAAUCUAAGGCAGCCUAUUAAAGAUUCCUUCCUUUCCUAGAUAUUCAGCUCCUGAAACAACUCUGCUUUCGAUAUUUCCCAAUGUUUGAAAGGCUGUUCCAGCAAAGGCAGAAGAAAUGUGCUUUUUCGGCACUGUCUGGACGCUUUAAAAAGCAAAAGGAAUGGCAACACACAAGCUCCAUAAAAGCAAAGGAAGAAAGAAGUCUAUCUUUACAGUCUGUUACAGUAAGCUAUAGAGUCACACCAAGCAAUACGCAAUUAUGCCAUGCACACACUGACAACAUAGGCAUAAAGUCGUAUUAAGAAGAAAUCAAGGAGUUGCAUUAUGGCACCGCCUUAAAGAGUAAUACCUGAUGGCAUUUUACAUC
ensembl:lncRNA